rnacentral:lncRNA from 1 species
AAGAGCAGUUGUAUAAACUUCACAUUUAAAAUCACAGAAAUUAAAUAUGAGAUGAAAUAAAAUAUUCAUUAGAAGCAGAAUAAGGUUUAUACAACUCCAAGAAUAGAAAUUAAAAAUAUAAAAACCCUUGGCCCUUUGUUAGGGCUACAUUCGGCCCUGGAAAAGAGAUCAGCCCUGCAUGGUGUUGGAGACGGCAGCAGCAGCACAGCAGCAGGCUCCCAUCUCUUCCUUCAUGAUUUCUUUCUUUGAAAUAUUUCCAAAAUAACAAAACUCUUCUCUCUCCUCUUAUUUUUUUAUUCUCUCAUGUUCCCGUGGCUCACUCCCUCCCCUGUUUCCUCUUCUUCUUCCCGUGGGACUUGCCUCCGAGAGAUUGAUCGAUCCCCCAAUGAAGAGGAGUCUUCUCCUUUUAUAGCCUCACGAAGCUCUCUUGCGGAUGGAGUCGAAUCGCGGAUUACUCGGACGCGUCAUGGGUGCUGACUUUGCUGAGAUUUGGAGCUGAUCCAAAAGUUGGUAUGCUGUUGGGAUUUGAUUCCGAAGCAGAGGAAGGUGAGCUGGUAGUUGAUCCGGAAGUCUGUUGUUUGAUCUUCGGCUGCAGGGGGUGACGAGGACGUGGACCAAGAUGCAAGGAAUGCUGAGAUUAUUCUGUGCAUAAGGGAAACUGAUCCGUGAUCCUUGCUUAGUUGGUUGCUCUCGGAGAUGAAGAUGAGGUGCCUCUGUUCCGCUGAAGCAGGGGAUGUUAUUUGGAUAAGGAUGAGUGAGCCGGAUGCGCGGAAGAAGAUGAGAGAGUUUGAUCCGAAGAUCAUGGGAUCUAGCUUUNN